UUCCGUAGGUGAACCUGCGGAAGGAUCAUUAUUSMAUUUUAUUAAUGAGGAGUUGAGUUGUUGCUGGCCUUUUCUACCUUAAUUUGGCAGGAGGGGCAUGUGCACACCUUCUCUUUCAUCCAUCACACCCCCUGUGCACUUGUGAGACAGCAAUAGUUGGUGGAUUUAAUUCCAUCAUCCAUUUGCUGUCUACUUAAUUUACACACACUCUACUUAAUUUAAACUGAAUGUAAUUGAUGUAACGCAUCUAAUACUAAGUUUCAACAACGGAUCUCUUGGCUCUCGCAUCGAUGAAGAACGCAGCGAAAUGCGAUAAGUAAUGUGAAUUGCAGAAUUCAGUGAAUCAUCGAAUCUUUGAACGCACCUUGCGCUCCUUGGUAUUCCUUGGAGCAUGCCUGUUUGAGUAUCAUGAAAUCUUCAAAGUAAACCUUUUGUUAAUUCAAUUGGUCUUUUUUACUUUGGUUUUGGAGGAUCUUAUUGCAGCUUCACACCUGCUCCUCUUUGUGCAUUAGCUGGAUCUCAGUGUUAUGCUUGGUUCCACUCGGCGUGAUAAGUU
rnacentral:rRNA from 1 species